CAAGUGGUAUCAGAGCCAUUGAAGUCUUUCAAAGGCUCGGUUUUGAUAUCACUCGAAGAACAAGAAGAAGCUUUGCACAGUGUCGGGGGAUGAAUGCUCGUCAAAGAUGUUUCGGCCACCAAACGGAAAAAGGAUGGAGGUGGUCGGAGGUGGUGUAGAAGAUGACGGUGGUGAAGAAGGUGGCUGGAGGAUGAUUAAUGGAACGAAGAUGGUGGUUGUAAGAUGGUUGUAGGAUGAGGUGCUAUGAUGUUUAACGAUGGCAAAAGAAGUUGAGAGGAGGUGUACGGUGGUCGGAAGCGGAUAAACAACGGAGACGCUAAGUGACGGAGAGGCAGUGAGGUGCUCGUCGGUGGUGCGAUGCUGAUGGAUAACGAUGGGUUUGAAGUGACUCGCAGCUGAGAUGAAUGGCAACAGUAGCGGCGUGGUUUUGAGGGUUUCCACGAACUCCGGCAACCUGUGAUAACACAAGCUC
rnacentral:lncRNA from 1 species